rnacentral:lncRNA from 1 species
UGCGGUUCACUCAUGGUCAGUUAGAGGUCCACUUGCCGCCCCUGCUCGCGUUUCACUUCCUUAAAAGAGCCAACUUCGAUCUCCAACGCCAGCAUGGGGUCUGCACUGCAUGGGUGUGGCCGGAGGGGGAAUGGACGUGCUAUCCAUGGCGUGUUGUAGUACAUUAUUUCAGAAUUUGAUGUGCCUUUUUCAGUGCAGUGCAGUGCACUUCAGGUGCAGCUCACUGAUUUUCUGGUGUGCAGUUACUCAAGGUCGUCCGCAUCAGCUGAGGUGGGGCCUCCGACGAGAAGCUCCCAUGGUGGAUCUGAAUUAUGGUGUGUCGUGUGCAGUUGCUGGUUACCUGUAGCGCGAUUCAGUAGUGAGAGCGUUGCAAACUUGCAUUACUGUAUCCCUUUAGGAAAAGAGUUUCUGCAGUUAGUCGGUUCCUGUAUGUGCAGACUUUUGCAUCAUUUGUUGUCUCAUGCAGUGCGUGCAGGGGUCAUAGAGCAGUUCGGUCGUGAAAACUUUGUGCAUAAAAUAUGCAUAUACAAAAAAUGUUGGCUGCAAAAAUAUUAAAAUCUGUUCAUUUUUUAUGUGAGUGUCGUUCACUUGUUCAUCGCCUCCCUGUCUUUUUCUUUCCGGAAGUGCACUAUCUUGUCACGUGCAAAACUAACAUUGACCAUGAAGUCCAUAAAUGUUUGUAUUUUUUGUUUGUAAAAAGAGAAAAAACUCUCAUGAGGUUCAUUUUGAUUCCAAGCUAAUUAAUAAAUGUAGUUCGUUUGCCGCAACUAUGUGGUACACCCCGUAAAAUAAGAAAAAAAUGUGGCUCAUUGCUCAAGUAGUUAUCUGAAAAGAAGCUCAUUUCUUAUUAGAUGC